GCCUCAUUGCCUCAGAAGAAGAGCGUCUGUCUUGUAAGCAGAAGGCCUCUGCAUCGAUUCAAGCAUAAGGCA
rnacentral:tRNA from 1 species